rnacentral:misc_RNA from 1 species
GAUGAAGAACGUAGCGAAAUGCGAUAAGUAAUGUGAAUUGCAGAAUUCAGUGAAUCAUCGAAUCUUUGAACGCACAUUGCGCCCGCCAGUAUUCUGGCGGGCAUGCCUGUUCGAGCGUCAUUACAACCCUCAGGCCCCCGGGCCUGGCGUUGGGGAUCGGCGGAGCCCCCCGUGGGAACACGCCGUCCCCCAAAUGCAGUGGCGGUCCCGCCGCAGCUUCCAUCGCGUAGUAGCUAACACCUCGCGACUGGAGAGCGGCGCGGCCACGCCGUAAAACACCCAACUCUUCUGAAGUUGACCUCGAAUCAGGUAGGAAUACCCGCUGAACUUAAGCAUAUCAAUAAGCGGAGGA